AGGACGAACGCUGGCGGCGUGCUUAACACAUGCAAGUCGAGCGGUAAGGCCCUUUCGGGGGUACACGAGCGGCGAACGGGUGAGUAACACGUGGGUGACCUGCCCCCUACUCUGGGAUAAGCCUGGGAAACUGGGUCUAAUAUCGGAUAUGACUCAAGGCUGCAUGGUUUUGGGUGGAAAGCUUUUGUGGUGGGGGAUGGGCCCGCGGCCUAUCAGCUUGUUGGUGGGGUGAUGGCCUACCAAGGCUUCGACGGGUA
rnacentral:rRNA from 1 species